rnacentral:rRNA from 1 species
GAUGAACGCUGGCGGCGUGCCUAAUACAUGCAAGUCGAGCGAACGGACGAGAAGCUUGCUUCUCUGAUGUUAGCGGCGGACGGGUGAGUAACACGUGGAUAACCUACCUAUAAGACUGGGAUAACUUCGGGAAACCGGAGCUAAUACCGGAUGAUAUUUUGAACCGCAUGGUUCAAAAGUGAAAGACGGUCUUGCUGUCACUUAUAGAUGGAUCCGCGCUGCAUUAGCUAGUUGGUAAGGUAACGGCUUACCAAGGCAACGAUGCAUAGCCGACCUGAGAGGGUGAUCGGCCACACUGGAACUGAGACACGGUCCAGACUCCUACGGGAGGCAGCAGUAGGGAAUCUUCCGCAAAGGGCGAAAGCCUGACGGAGCAACGCCGCGUGAGUGAUGAAGGUCUUCGGAUCGUAAAACUCUGUUAUUAGGGAAGAACAUAUGUGUAAGUAACUGUGCACAUCUUGACGGUACCUAAUCAGAAAGCCACGGCUAACUACGUA